GUCAGGAUGGCCGAGCGGUCUAAGGCGUCACGCUAAGAACGUGAUCUACUGAAGUAGUCGUGGGUUCGAAUCCCACUCCUGACA